rnacentral:rRNA from 1 species
AACGAACGCUGGCGGCAUGCCUAACACAUGCAAGUCGAACGAGACCUUCGGGUCUAGUGGCGCACGGGUGCGUACCGCGGGGGAACUUGCCCUUAGGUUCGGAAUAACUCCCCGAAAGGUGUCCUAAUACAGGUGAAUGUCAUCGCACCUAAGAUUUAUCGCCUUUGGAUGGGCGCGCGUUGGAUUAGCUGGUUGGUAGGGUAAUAGCCUGCCAUCGCGACGAUGCAGAGCUGGUCUGAGAGGAUGCUCAGCCAGACUGGGACUGAGACACGGCCCAGACUGCGACGGAAGGGAGCAGUAGGGUGUAUUAGAGGAGGGGCGAAAGCCUGACAAAGCAGUGCGGGGUGAGUGAUGCCGGCCUUAGGAUUGUAAAGCUGUUUUACCCGGGACGAGAAUGACAGUACCGGGAGAAUAAGCACCGGCUAACUACGUG